rnacentral:rRNA from 1 species
UACGGGGGGGGUAAGCGUUGUUCGGAAUUACUGGGCGUAAAGGGCUCGUAGGCGGCCAACUAAGUCAGACGUGAAAUCCCUCAGCUUAACUGGGGAACUGCGUCUGAUACUGGAUGGCUUGGAUUCGGGAGAGGAAUGCGGAAUUCCUGGUGUAGCGGUGGAAUGCGCAGAUAUCAGGAGGAACACCUAUAGCGAAGGCAGCUUGCUGGGACGACACUGACGCUAAGGCGCGAAAGCGUGGGGAGCGAACAGG